UACGUAGGGGGCAAGCGUUGUCCGGAUUCAUUGGGCGUAAAGAGCUCGUAGGCGGUUCAGCAAGUCGGGUGUGAAACCUCCAGGCUCAACCUGGAGACGCCACCCGAUACUGCUGUGACUUGAGUCCGGUAGGGGACCACGGAAUUCCUGGUGUAGCGGUGAAAUGCGCAGAUAUCAGGAGGAACACCGGUGGCGAAGGCGGUGGUCUGGGCCGGAACUGACGCUGAGAAGCGAAAGCAUGGGGAGCGAACAGG
rnacentral:rRNA from 1 species